ensembl:lncRNA
AAAGAUUUAAGUCCAUUCAUUUUAACGACCGGUACUUGUGCUUUAUCACUGAGUCUCCAAAUCCUUUAUGAAUCUAUAUAUUUAUAUCUUACUAUUCCAUACAAUAAACUAAUGUAAAGUACAUAAAGCACCAUAGCUGCUUUUCCACAUGAAUGGAAGGGCUAUGGAGUUUAUUAAGGUGUAAGUAUGGACCUACCUCUGCUGGUAAAGGCAUUCAGAAAGAGGAAACUUGCAGGGAAAAAAAAGAGAUGCAACUCCUUAGUUUCAGGUUUAACUUACUGAAAUAGCAGUACAAAUGUAUCCAGUAUAGUGUAAUAACAUAGCCAUCAUUAAUUUUGUUUUUCCGUGUAUAGAGCCAUCCUGACCUGGCAAAAACUCUCAGCUAGGAUCAACAAAUAACUUAAAUCUCUUGUCCAUGAGCUCAGAUUCAUUCGGGCAGAAAAUCUGCCCAGCUUCAGAGAGAUUAGCUGCAACUACUGUUUUUAACAGUAAAUUAGGCAAGGAAUUGACUUCCCAGAAAGUUUCCCUAACAGCUUUCAUUUUGUAGUAAAAGAAUAUGAAGGAUAAACAGUUCAGAAUGUUGCAGUAGUCUUUACUUCAGUUACUGAAUUUUGCUCCUUUGUUUUUCAGAGCAAGAAAAAAGGUGAGAAGAACACAGCUCUAAAUUAUCUGGGGUAGAUUUAUCCAGCCCAUAUUUUCCUUUGCCCAUUUCCUCUUUUCCUAUCAGUAGCUCCUUUCACAUCUUGCCCAGUAGAAACUCUCACCCUUUAAUAACUUCAUCCUGUCAGUUAUUUCCCUUCCCUGCUCAAAAUACCACCCAUUAACAUCUGGUUAUUAAACCUAUUCUGGUAGCAGAGGGAAGAACAUGGCAUUCUUCCCUGCCCACUUUCUCAGUGUGGCUUCAUGACCCAAAGAUGUUGCUCUUAAGCCCAACAUAGCCAGCUUGCAAGGAAAUAGUAUAGCUAGAAAGGAGUGCUCUAGUACUCAUUAGAGAAUGAGAAUUUACGUUCAGAAUUCCCCCUUCUUUCUACUGCUUCCACAGGAGAUAGUAUUUCUCUAAGCUGAUCCCCAGCUGCUCAGUUGGGCCCUUGAGUUCAUCACCAGAUAAUGUAUAACCCCAAACAGCCUGAAGGCUUCUGGAAGUUCCUCCACAGGUCCGGAUGCAGGAACACUGCCUCCUAGAAAAAGUGGCUUUGCACAUCCUCCACUGGGUGUCUUUUUUGUUCCCUGAACACAGCAGAGUAUUUUUGUUUUUCAUAAUUCAUUUCUUUCUGUUUCUUCCUUCAGCAGCCCUGAGGUAUCUCAGGCAUUCUGCCUCCACAAAAUCCAGGUGAACUUGCUUUAACAUUAGAAGUUGGUCUAAUUACUGCAGCUCAGAUGUUUUACCCUUCCACUGCUUCUGCUUCAAGGAUCACAGUGCCUGUGCUGUCGAGUGUUGGCAGUGCUUCCCCAAGACCUUUUGUUCCUCUAUAAUAACCACCCAUCCUGGUUGGGGCAGGGGAUUAUGAAAUGAAGAACCUUACCCCUUUUCCUAAACUGGUUUUGCUUAGCUCCAGUGUGCCUCCAAAUUUUCUAAACUUCAGGGUAGUAACUGUCAUCAAAACAGAUAAUUUUAUUCUUAUGCAGCUCUUCAUUGUUCUUCCUGAUCGUAAUAUAUAUCUAUAUAUAUGUUGCUGAGCUUGAUAAUUCUGGAAACUGAAAACUACAUAUCUUAGCUGGAGCCGAGGCUGUUUGUGCUCCCACCCUAUAAGAUCUUUAUGUAACACAAUCAAAAUGCAAGGACUGUGCGAGUGAUGGGACCAACAUUUCCAUAUUUUUGUUAUUUUCUGCAUUUCUAGGAAUGCCAUAAAUCCUGUCAUUGCUUCUCCUCUGAGCGUUUUCUAAAUCAUCGCAUUUUACUCUUCGGAGCCUGUUCUGUUUUACCAGGAAAAAUGAAAUGUGUGUUCCCUGUAAAAGGUCAAUCAAUAAAAUCUUUGCAAUCU